rnacentral:lncRNA from 1 species
UUCCAUUCCAAUGCUUAUGACAUCAAGCAGUGAAACAAUAGGAACAACUCCAGGUCUUUGGAGUGAACGUUUUAGUACAGGUGUUGCUGGGAGUCCAUUUCCAACGACCCUAGAAGCUAGAAACGAGGGCAGGGCUACAGAGGGACCCAGCUUCACCAGUACUGGGCAAAUAGCAGGGACCCCAGGAGUUUCCGAGGGCUUCACAGCAGCACCCGGCAGUGAGAGCACACGUGGAGACUCCAGCGCCCCAGGCACGACCUUGGGAGGCAGAGCAGGUAUGCCAAGUUGGGAGCUUCUCCUCAGGCACCUCAGGCAAGUGGCCAGUGGCUAAUGCCAGGAGGGAGUCGCUCCUGGUCAAGUGGGAGAGCCCAUCUUCAUGAGCCGACUCUCCAUGUGUUUGGGGGC